UUAAGACCUGGGACAGAAGCUCCUACCUUGAGGAACUGUUAACUUCCAGUUUAUCUGAAAGAGCUCAAGAAUUCGUAGGAGGGUUACAGAAUAAGAGGAUGGGGUAGUCAUAGCAGCUGGCAAAGAGAAACUGAAGCUUUCUUUUUCAAGAGGGAUUUGUGUUGGUUUUUCCCAGGAGCAAGUUUCUCAAGUUCACUUUGCAUAAAUAAAGCAGCAGGACUGACAAGGGAGCAACAUGGAGUCUCUGCUCUGAAAGGCAUUCCUGCUCCUAACUAUCCUCUGAGACCCAUUUUCUUUAAAGGGGAGGUUGGUACAGAAGGUAUGAACCACAGAACUUGAAUCAUCUUGUUCUGCCUCAGAAAUUGAGGGAAAGAAAAAAAGUGGAUGGUACCAGGAGCAGUCACAUGACCAUUGAGUGGAAAUAAAUAAUGAUUGGCCUAAAUAACAAACCCAAAGUCAACGACAGCAGAAUCAAGAUUUAUAACAAGUUAUAUACAAAGGGGACCUGUUACACUAGCAGUCCAGGGGGCAAAAGGUGAGGUGCAGAAUGUGUUGGAAAGCCAUGGUAUCCCACCACAGUGCUAGUUAUAAGAAGUUUUAAUAUCUUUAUUUUAAUAUGUCUAUAAUAACUCCUUGAUAUUUUUGUCCGCCAUGGUAGUUGGAGACAGAGGUUGGUUGCCCUAGUUUCACACUGCAAUGCUGUUAGACUCAGAAGACAGUGCUCAUUAAGAUGUCUUGACAAAAAUUCUAAUCAAUUCAUUUUCUAUUUUAUUAUGCCUGCUAAUAUGAUCUACUGUUUAUAUCCUCGAAUAAUAAUGGAAUAUGCAACUGCAUGCCAUAGACUCCUGCUACAGUGCUCAUUCAUUGAAUAUGUUAUUGCAAUUUAUUUUCAAUUUUAGGUAGUUUACC